ACCCCAGCGUAAUUUAAGCAUAUUAAUAAGCGGAGGAAAAGAAACUAACUAGGAUUCCCUCAGUAGCUGCGAGCGAACAGGGAAGAGCCCAGCACCGAAUCCUGUCCGUCACGCGCGGAUCUGGAAAUGUGGUGUUUGGGAGGGCCCGUCCAAAUCUCGCCCGACCGUGUCCGUCCAAGUCCAUCUUGAAAGUGGCCACAGCCCGUAGAGGGUGCCAGGCCCGUAGGACGACGCGGAGAACAUGUCGGGCGAAAGGGUCUCUCCUCAGAGUCGGGUUGCUUGAGAGUGCAGCUCUAAGUGGGUGGUAAACUCCAUCUAAGGCUAAAUAUGACCACAAGACCGAUAGCGAACAAGUACCGUGAGGGAAAGUUGAAAAGAACUUUGAAGAGAGAGUUCAAGAGUACGUGAAACCGUUCGGGGGUAAACGGACGAAAUCUGGAAAAUCGAAGGGAGUGAUUCAUGCCCGUCCGCCGUCACGAGUGGCGCAGCGGCCGUCGAUGGCGCGUAUCCGGUCCCGUCCCGCCCGCAAGGGUGGGCACGGAUCGCCGGGUCCGUCACGUGCGGUCGUGUGGCGCUCUCGGGCGCGGGUUGCACUUCUCUCCUUGUAGUACGUCGCGACCCGUUGGGUGUGCGUCAAAGGCCCGUGCGUGGAGCCGACGGACGUGUCCGGCGUGCGGGAGGUCUCGGCCUCUCGUGUCGUCCGGCCGUCCGACGACCGCUGCGGUGACCCGACGCACUCGCCCGACGGUAUGCACGAAGACGAACGUGGCGAAAAGAACCGACGCGCGUGCCAAACGUGCGGUCGGCGGCCCUCGGGUACGCCUCGCGUCAGCGACGCUCCAUUCAGAGCAUCAUCCGACCCGUCUUGAAACACGGACCAAGGAGUCUAACAUGUACGCGAGUCAUUGGGACCGCACAAAACCUAAAGGCGAAAUGAAAGUAAAGGCCGUGGCGAGAGCCCGUGCCCACACAUUGAAAGAGGGGAGAUGCUUGGAAUCCAUGUAGCGAUACUUGCCGCAUCCCCGGGACGUCUCGUUGUCAUCGCGACACAGUAGGCGUACCCAGAGCGUACACGUUGGGACCCGAAAGAUGGUGAACUAUGCCUGGUCAGGUCGAAGUCAGGGGAAACCCUGAUGGAGGACCGUAGCGAUUCUGACGUGCAAAUCGAUCGUCAGAGCUGGGUAUAGGGGCGAAAGACUAAUCGAACCAUCUAGUAGCUGGUUCCCUCCGAAGUUUCCCUCAGGAUAGCUGGCGUUCGAGUCUGCAAUGGCCGUGGCGCUUGCGCCGCGCGUCCUUUACAGUCUCAUCUGGUAAAGCGAAUGAUUAGAGGCCUUGGGGCCGAAACGACCUCAACCUAUUCUCAAACUUUAAAUGGGUGAGAUACUCGACUUGCUCGAAAGAUGAAGUCGAGGCGCGUACGUCUCUAGAGGCGUGCGCGCGCGAAGCGGAUGAACGAGUGCCAAGUGGGCCAAUUUUGGUAAGCAGAACUGGUGCUGUGGGAUGAACCAAACGUCGAGUUAAGGCGCCUAAAUCGAUGCUCAUGGGAUACCAUGAAAGGCGUUGGUUGCUUAAGACAGCAGGACGGUGGCCAUGGAAGUCGGAAUCCGCUAAGGAGUGUGUAACAACUCACCUGCCGAAGCAACUAGCCCUGAAAAUGGAUGGCGCUCAAGCAUCGUGCCUAUACUCGACCGUCACCGGCAAAAGAGGCGACGAAAUUGUGCGUCGUUCUCACGAGGCCGUGACGAGUAGGAGGGUCGCGACGGUGUGCGCAGAAGCGUUGGCCGUGAGGCCGCGUGGAGCCGCCGUCGGUGCAGAUCUUGGUGGUAGUAGCAAAUACACUAGAGAGGCCCUGGUGGACUGACGUGGAGAAGGGUUUCGUGUGAACAGCCGUUGCACACGAGUCAGUCGAUCCUAAGCCCCAGGAGAAAUCCGAUGUUGAUGUGCAGUCGUAUAAGCGAGAGCGAUAACGAGCGCCCUCUGUGCGUGUACGGCGGUUGUCUGGCGUGGCGCGCGUGCGUGGCGGAGGCUUCGUGGCGAUCUCACGCACACGACGAGACGGAGACGUGGAGGUGUAGACUUCGAAGAGGUUGUGCACGCCACUCUCGUACAACGUCCGUCGUGUGUGCGCCCGGUCACGCGCGCGCGCGCGUGCGCGCCCUCCUCGUGCACGCACGGCUGUGGCGAAUCCACUCAUUCACACUCGACUUGACCACAUCGGGCGAAAGGGAAUCCGUUUCCUAUUACGGAACCUGGCAGCGGAACCGACCAUGCGGGCCACUGUCGGUCGCCCGUCGUGCCGGCGUCGGGGUAGUGCGCUCCGCGCGUGCUGCUCUCGGCGACGUGUCACGUACGGUGUCGCCCGGCAACUCGUCGGGGUAACCCAAAAGGACCCGGAGACGCCGUCGGAUGAUCGAGGCAGAGUUUUCUGUUCUGUAUGAGCGUUCGAGUUCCCUGGAAUCGCCUAGCGCGGAGAUAGGGUUUGGAACGCGAAGAGCACCGCACUUGCGGCGGUGUCUCGAUCUAUCCCUCGGACCUUGAAAAUCCGGGAGAGGGCCACGUGGAGGUGUCGCGCCAGUUCGUACCCAUAUCCGCAGCCGGUCUCCGAGGUGAGCAGCCUCUAGUCGAUAGAAUAAUGUAGGUAAGGGAAG
rnacentral:rRNA from 1 species